ensembl:lncRNA
GGGCACUGAGAUGGGGUCAGAGGGGCACUGAGAUGGGGGUCAGUGGGGCACUGAGAUGGGGGUCAGAGGGGCACUGAGAUUGGGGUCAGAGGGCGUGGGGACACAUAGGGGUGGAUGGGGCAGAGGGGGAUAUAUGGGGAACGUGCUGACACGUGAUGACAUGCGGUGACACACCACAACACAUGAUGACAUGCGAUGACACACCACGACAUGUGAUGACACGUGACAACGCACCGUGUCACGUGAUGACAUGCGAUGACACACCACGACACGUGAUGACAUGCGAUGACACGUGACAGCACACCAUGACAGAUGAUGACAUGCGAUGACACACGACGACACACAACACAUGAUGACAUGCGAUGACACACCACGACACGUGAUGUUGUGUCGCUGUGUCACUGUGUCGCCGUGAUAUUGUCGUGUUGUGUCGCUGCAAUGUUCUGUUGGUGUGUCACUGUGAUAUUGUGGUGUUGUGUUGCUGCGAUGUUGUGUCGCCAUGUCGCUGUGUUG